rnacentral:tRNA from 1 species
GCUCGAGUAGCUCAGCCUGGAUAGAGCGCUUCCCUCCUAAGGAAGAAGUCGAAGGUUCAAAUCCUUCCUCGGGCG